rnacentral:ribozyme from 13 species
GGGGCCAAGUUCAGAAAACUCUGGAGUUCCCACCCAAACUCCCAAGAAAGAAGAGGGAAGAGUUUGAGAAGAAACAACAAAAGCAAAGAAGAAGGACACCAACAACCCCUUCAUCUUUUUCUUCUCUCUGUGUCUGUUUGUUUUUGUUUGUUUUUCUCUUUCUCUUUCUCUUUCUCU